rnacentral:SRP_RNA from 1 species
UCUGGGCAGCGUAGCGGCUGUCUGUAACCCGAGCGGGAGUAAGAGAGAUGGGAGCUGGGGCUCUCGCAGAGGACCGGUGGGAUCAUGUCGAAGGCACGUCCUCUCGAAGCGUGGAGUCUCUGAUCUGGCCUCCUCGGCGGAAGUGAGGGGAGUCUGGGGGGAUAAUGUGGAGAGCAUAGCGUGAGGCGGGCGACCGAGCAGCGAUCACUUCCCGCUCUGCCCAGUCGGGGGACUGCGUGCUUGAAUGCUUGCCAGCGAUCAUCCGACGUGAGGAGCUUCCUGCAACCUCUCCCUG